UGAUGCAUAGGAGACUGGGCGGUCUUG
rnacentral:sRNA from 1 species